AUGGAGUCCGUGCGACUUCUCGCGCUGGCUGCCCAGGAGGGCUGGCAUGUCCAUCAUAUGGAUGUCAAGUCGGCAUUCCUCAACGGCGACUUGAAGGAGGAAGUCUACGUGCAUCAGCCACCGGGAUUUGCGAUCCCUGGCCAGGAGGGCAAGGUACUCCGCCUGCGCAAGGCUCUCUAUGGCCUACGGCAGGCACCUAGGGCGUGGAACGCCAAGCUGGACUCCACGCUAAAGAAGAUGGGAUUCGAGCAAAGCCCGCAUGAGGCGGCCGUCUACCGACGGGGCAGUGGAGGAAACGCCCUGCUGGUGGGCGUCUAUGUUGACGACUUGGUGAUUACCGACACCAAAGAUGCAGAGGAUCACUCCGGGAUCGCGCUUCGACAGUCCGCCUACGCCAAGCGCAUCGUUGAGCUAGCUGGGCUCACCGACUGUCACCCAGCUCUCACUCCGAUGGAGGAGAGGCUGAAACUGAGCCGUGACAGCAAGGCGGAGGAAGUGGAUGCUACGCAGUACCGACGCCUUGUGGGGAGCCUUCGCUACCUCGCCCACACACGGCCGAACUUGGCAUUCUCCGUCGGCUAUGUCAGUCGGUUCAUGGAGCGACCGACGACGAAGCACCAGCAGGCAGUGAAGAGGAUCGUCCGCUACGUAGCAGGGACCCUCGACCACGGCCUCCACUACCCUAGGUGUCCGGGGGCGGCACACUUCGUCGGAUACAGCGACAGCGACCACGCCGGCGACAUCGACACCAGCAAGAGCACGAGCGGGAUCCUCUUCUUCCUCGGCAAGUGUCUCGUGAGCUGGCAAUCAGUCAAGCAGCAGGUGGUGGCCCUGUCCAGCUGUGAGGCUGAGUACAUAGCGGCCUCCACCGCCUGCACUCAGGCGCUCUGGCUCGCUCGACUGCUUGGUGAUCUCCUCGUCCGAGACACCAGAACGGUGCAGCUCCUGGUGGACAGCAAGUCCGCCCUGGCCCUGGCAAAGAACCCCGUUUUCCAC
rnacentral:rRNA from 1 species